rnacentral:piRNA from 1 species
UGCUGAUGAGCCCACUCUAGGAGCCCCAGUA